GACGAACGCUGGCGGCGUGCUUAACACAUGCAAGUCGAGCGGUAAGGCUCCUUCGGGAGUACACGAGCGGCGAACGGGUGAGUAACACGUGAGCAAUCUGCCCUUCACUUUGGGAUAACUCCGGGAAACCGGUGCUAAUACCGAAUGCGACCACUUCAGGCAUCUGACGGUGGUGGAAAGUUCCGGCGGUGAAGGAUGAGCUCGCGGCCUAUCAGUUUGUUGGUGAGGUAAUGGCUCACCAAGGCUAAGACGGGUAGCUGGUCUAAGAGGAUGAUCAGCCACACUGGAACUGAGACACGGUCCAGACUCCUACGGGAGGCAGCAGUGGGGAAUAUUGCACAAUGGGCGCAAGCCUGAUGCAGCGACGCCGCGUGGGGGAUGACGGCCUC
rnacentral:rRNA from 1 species